rnacentral:tRNA from 1 species
GCGGGUAUAACUCAGCCUGGUUAGAGUGCGGGUCUCAUAAGCCCGAAGUCCCGAGUUCAAAUCUCGGUACCCGCA